UACGAAGGGGGCUAGCGUUGCUCGGAAUCACUGGGCGUAAAGCGCACGUAGGCGGACUCUUAAGUCGGUGGUGAAAUCCUGGAGCUCAACUCCAGAACUGCCUUCGAUACUGAGAGUCUCGAGUCCGAGAGAGGUGAGUGGAACUGCGAGUGUAGAGGUGAAAUUCGUAGAUAUUCGCAAGAACACCAGUGGCGAAGGCGGCUCACUGGCCCGUUACUGACGCUGAGGCACGAAAGCGUGGGGAGCAAACAGG
rnacentral:rRNA from 1 species